UACGAAGGGGGCUAGCGUUGUUCGGAUUUACUGGGCGUAAAGCGCACGUAGGCGGAUUGUUAAGUGAGAGGUGAAAUCCCGGAGCUCAACUCCGGAACUGCCUUUCAUACUGGCAAUCUAGAGUCCGGAAGAGGUGAGUGGAACUCCUAGUGUAGAGGUGGAAUUCGUAGAUAUUAGGAAGAACACCAGUGGCGAAGGCGGCUCACUGGUCCGGUACUGACGCUGAGGUGCGAAAGCGUGGGGGAGCAAACAGGAU
rnacentral:rRNA from 1 species